CCUACGGGGGGCAGCAGUAGGGAAUCUUUCACAAUGGGCGAAAGCCUGAUAGAGCAACGCCGCGUGCAGGAUGAAGGCCUUCGGGUUGUAAACUGCUUUUAUAAGCGAGAAAUAUGAUGGUAACUUAUGAAUAAGGAUCGGCUAACUACGUGCCAGCAGCCGCGGUCAUACGUAGGAUCCGAGCAUUAUCCGGAGUGACUGGGUGUAAAGAGUUGCGUAGGUGGCAUAAUAAGUAGCUAGUGAAAUCUGGUGGCUCAACCAUUCAGACUAUUAGCUAAACUGUUAAGCUCGAGACCGUUAGGGGUAACUGGAAUUUCUAGUGUAGGAGUGAAAUCCGUAGAUAUUAGAAGGAACACCAAUAGCGUAGGCAGGUUGCUGGGACGGUUCUGACACUAAGGCACGAAAGCGUAGGGAGCAAACGGGAUUAGAUACCCGUGUAGUC
rnacentral:rRNA from 1 species